CCGCCAAUGAUGAUUAGCUACAUGUUGGAAUUACCGUCAGAUUCCCAAAUGACGAUAUUUUUGCGGCUUUCUGAGGCUUCUU
rnacentral:snoRNA from 1 species